rnacentral:rRNA from 1 species
CCUGAACGCUGGCGGCGUGGUUAAGACAUGCAAGUCGCACGGGGCGUAGCAAUACGUCCAGUGGCGAACGGGUGAGUAAUGAAUCGCUAAUGUACCCCGGACUCUGGGAUAGCUGCCCGAAAGGGCAGGUAAUACCGGAUGACAUAGCUUCCAGGCAUCUGGAGGCUCUCAAAGGUCCGCCGGUCUGGGCGCAGGCGAUUUCGUAUCAGCUAGUUGGUGCGGGUAACGGCCCACCAAGGCGACGACGCGUAGCCGGACUGAGAGGUUGGCCGGCCACAUUGGGACUGAGACACGGCCCAAACUCCUACGGGAGGCAGCAGUGGGGAAUCUUGCGCAAUGGGCGAAAGCCUGACGCAGCCAUGCCGCGUGAAUGAUGAAGGUCUUAGGAUUGUAAAAUUCUUUCACCGGGGACA